rnacentral:rRNA from 1 species
GACGAACGCUGGCGGCGUGCUUAACACAUGCAAGUCGAACGGAAAGGCCCUGCUUUUGUGGGGUGCUCGAGUGGCGAACGGGUGAGUAACACGUGAGUAACCUGUCCUUGCCUUUGGGAUAACUUCAGGAAACUGGGGCUAAUACCGGAUAGGAGCUCCUGCUGCAUGGUGGGGGUUGGAAAGUUUCGGCGGUUGGGGAUGGACUCGCGGCUUAUCAGCUUGUUGAUGGGGUAGUGGCUUACCAAGGCUUUGACACGUAGCCGGGCUGAGAUGAUCACCGGCCACGUUAGAACUGGAAUACGACCCAGACUCCUACGGGAGGCGGCAGUGGGGAAUGUUGCACAGUGGGCUGAGGCCAAGCGCAGUCACGCCACGUGGGGGGUGACAGCCUUCGGGUUGUAUACCGCUUUCGCCUGUCACGAAGCGAGAGUGACGGUAAUGGGUAAAGAAGCACCGGCUAACUACGUG